AGGAUGAACGCUGGCGGCGUGCCUAACACAUGCAAGUCGAACGUCCUGUCUCGCAAGAGGCAGGGAGUGGCGGACGGGUGAGUACCACGUGGGUCAUCUACCGUGAGGUGAGGAAUACCGGCGAGAAAUCGCCGACAAGACCGCAUAGGCUCGAUGCAAGUCGAGCAAAGCUCUUUCGAGAGAGGGAGCGCCACACGAGGAGCCUGCGCCCGAUUAGCUAGCUGGUGGAGUAACGGUUCACCAGGGCGACGAUCGGUAGCUGGUCUGAGAGGACGAUCAGCCACACUGGGAUUGAGAACGGCCCAGACUCCUACGGGGGGCAGCAGUGAGGAAUUUUCGUCAAUGGGGGCAACCCUGAACGAGCAACGCCGCGUGCAGGAAGAAGGUUUCGGAUCGUAAACUGCUUUUCUCGGGGAAGAGAACGGACGGUACCCGAGGAAUCAGCCCGGCUAACUACGUGCCAGCAGCCGCGGU
rnacentral:rRNA from 1 species